rnacentral:piRNA from 1 species
UGUGGCAGCAAGUUUCACGAUGGAACC